CAGUCGCCGCGGGAAUACGGAGGGUGCAAGCGUUAUCCGGAUUUAUUGGGUUUAAAGGGUCCGUAGGCGGGCUUAUAAGUCAGUGGUGAAAGCCUGUCGCUUAACGAUAGAACUGCCAUUGAUACUGUAAGUCUUGAGUAUAUUUGAGGUAGCUGGAAUAAGUAGUGUAGCGGUGAAAUGCAUAGAUAUUACUUAGAACACCAAUUGCGAAGGCAGGUUACCAAGAUAUAACUGACGCUGAGGGACGAAAGCGUGGGUAGCGAACAGGAUUAGAUACCCGGGUAGUCCCUGUCUCUUAUAC
rnacentral:rRNA from 1 species